rnacentral:rRNA from 1 species
UACGGAGGGUGCGAGCGUUGUCCGGAAUCAUUGGGCGUAAAGGGCGCGUAGGUGGCCACUUCAAGCGUGCGGUGAAAGUCGGGGGCUCAACCCCUGAUCGGCCGUGCGAACUGGGGGGCUGGAGCACUGGUAGAGGCAGGCGGAAUUCCGGGUGUAGCGGUGGAAUGCGUAGAGAUCCGGAAGAACACCGGUGGCGAAGGCGGCCUGCUGGGCAGUUUUGCUGACACUGAGGCGCGACAGCGUGGGGAGCAAACAGG